rnacentral:rRNA from 1 species
UGGGGAAUAUUGGACAAUGGGCGAAAGCCUGAUCCAGCCAUGCCGCGUGUGUGAAGAAGGUCUUCGGAUUGUAAAGCACUUUAAGUUGGGAGGAAGGGCAGUAAGCGAAUACCUUGCUGUUUUGACGUUACCGACAGAAUAAGCAUCGGCUAACUCUGUGCCAGCAGCCGCGGUAAUACAGAGGGUGCAAGCGUUAAUCGGAAUUACUGGGCGUAAAGCGCGCGUAGGUGGUUCGUUAAGUUGGAUGUGAAAGCCCCGGGCUCAACCUGGGAACUGCAUCCAAAACUGGCGAGCUAGAGUAGGGCAGAGGGUGGUGGAAUUUCCUGUGUAGCGGUGAAAUGCGUAGAUAUAGGAAGGAACACCAGUGGCGAAGGCGACCACCUGGGCUCAUACUGACACUGAGGUGCGAAAGCGUGGGGAGCAAACAGG